GUCCCCAGGCGUAGUUACAGAAGACCUUUGUAAUAGAAAAGAGGACCUGAGAGAUUGUCUAAUUAAUGCUCAGCAUCAAAAAACUAAUUAUUGAAGUCUGAUACAUUCAAAUGAUGCAAUGUUAUAAAUACAAUAAAUAUUAUCAGAGUCAAAUACUCCUCACAUUGCUUAAUAUUAUUUAAACUAUCAAAGUGAGUAUUAUGUCCUCUUUUCAUGUGUUUAAAAGUAUGUGUAUGUUUGUACAUGCGUGCAUGCGCAUGUGUUUGUGUGUGCGUGUGUGUGUGUGUGUGUGAAUGAACACAUGUUCAUGCAUGUGGAAGCCAGAGGCCAACCUAGAGUAUUGUUACUCAGGCAUUGUUCACACGCCUACUUUUUUAAAAAGGGUCUAUCAUUGACCUAGGACUGGCCAAAUAGUCUAGGCUGGCAGCAGGCCCCACCCCCAAGAGAUCUGCCCGCCCCCCCCCCCACACCCAGUGCUGGGAUCACAGGCAUGUGCCAUUAUGGCUGACAAGUUUAUGUGGGUUCUGAUGGCUGCACUCAGAUCCUCAUGCUUGCUGUGGAUAUCAAACAGUUUGCCAACUAAGCCAUGCCGUUACUUCUUUAAAUAAGCAGGCAUGCUAAUAUUCCAAGGUCAGAACUGUGUACAGGGAUGCUUAGAGGUUGGAAGAAUUUGGGAUGAUAUUGUUCAGCUAAACCUUUGUCCUUUCCUGGGCUUCUCACGCUUCCAUCCUGAGUUCUGCCACUGUUGGUUUUAACUCGAAGUUAAAUUCAAAAGAGAGGACUUCACUACAUUGUCAAUUACUUUUAUUGUUACGAUAGCUAGGCUUCCUAAUUCUAAAAGUGCUUUCAGAGGAGAAUUCUCUUAAGUGUCUAAAUGGCUGCUUGGAGAGCAAUGGGUUUCUGCGAAUUUGGCCACAGUAAUUUAUAGCAUAUAUUGGCUGGGGCUCUUCAGCACUGACAAAUUCCAGGAAGUAAUUGCAUAAAAUACUUGGAGAGGAAAUUGCUUUAUGCUUCCAUGCUAUUUAUGGAAAUUAGCAUCUUUGUAAAAAUAAAGCAAGAGGGAUCACAAUCGU
rnacentral:lncRNA from 1 species